rnacentral:rRNA from 1 species
UACGGAGGAUGCAAGCGUUAUCCGGAAUGAUUGGGCGUAAAGCGUCCGCAGGUGGCUAUGUAAGUCUGCUGUUAAAGAGUGAGGCUCAACCUCAUAAGAGCAGUGGAAACUACAUGGCUAGAGUGCGUUCGGGGCAGAGGGAAUUCCUGGUGUAGCGGUGAAAUGCGUAGAGAUCAGGAAGAACACCGGUGGCGAAAGCGGUCUGCUGGGCCAGUACUGACGCUGAGGUACGAAAGCGUGGGUAGCGAACGGG